UGUCCACUUGUCCAGCACUAACGAAAGGGAAUCGAGAUCAAUGCAAAGUUGCAGCAUAAGCCAACCCGAGUAACCGAAAACUCUGUUUUUAAGAUCUUUUGUCAAACCCCAUCUCAGUCUCUCUCUCUCAUUUUCCUCUUCUUCAUCAAGCCAUGGCAGGCGCGUUGGUAGGAGGAGCAUUUCUCUCUGCUUUUCUUCAGGUUCUGUUUGAUAGAAUUGGUUCUCGUGAGGUUCUUGACUUCUUCAGGGGAAGAAAACUCAACGAUGGCCUGCUGAAUAAGUUGAAUUUAACAUUGAAUUCUGUCAAUGGAGUGCUAGAUGACGCGGAGGAGAAGCAGAUUACUAGGCCUAAUGUGAAAAUCUGGGUCGACGAGCUAAAAGAUGCUGUUUAUGAUGCCGAGGACUUGUUAGAUGAGAUUGCAUAUGAAGUUCUGCGAACGAAGUUGGAAGCUGCUCCUGUGUCUCGGAGACAAAAGGUGCGCAACUUUUUCUCUUGUUAUAAUCCAUUUAAGAAGGGAGUGGAAGCAAAGUUAGAAGAGAUAGUAGAGAGACUUGAAAAUUUAGUAAAACAAAAGGAUGUCCUUGGCCUAAUAGAGAGUGCUGCAGAAAGACCACCACCAUUACAGAAUGCAGCAACGACUUCUUUGGUUGAUGAAUCUGGUGUUUAUGGUAGGAAAGGAGAUAAAGAAGCCAUAAUGAAAUUGCUGCAAUCAGAUAACACAAGUGGGAAAGACCUAGAUGUGAUUUCCAUAGUGGGCAUGGGUGGGCUUGGUAAAACCACCCUUGCUCAGCUUGUCUAUAAUGACAAUCGAGCAGAUCAUUUGUUUGAUCUCAAAGCAUGGGUGUGUGUUUCCAAGGAAUUCAACAUACCCAAGAUCACUAAAGACAUUCUUGAGGAAGUCACUGGGAAGACUUGUGAAAUUGAAAAUCCCAAUCGGCUUCAACUUGAGUUGAAGAAGACAAUGAUUGGAAAAAAAGUUCUAAUUGUUUUGGAUGAUGUUUGGAAUGAUAAGAUUACUCCUUGGGAGGAUUUACUGAAACCUUUGAAAUUUGUUGCUCAAGGAAGUAAGAUUAUUGUGACAACAAGAAAUGAAAGUGUAGCAGUACUUGUAUGCACUCUUCCAAUCCAUCAUCUGAAGGAAUUAACUUAUGAUGAUUGCUGGUCCUUGUUUGCAAAAUAUGCAUUUGAUGAUAGUAAUGUUGAUGCAUAUCCAAACUUGGAAGAAAUUGGUAGAGAAAUAGUAAAAAAGUGCAAAGGCCUGCCUUUAGCUGCAAAAACACUUGGGAGUCUACUCCACUCAAAAAGAGAUGUUGAAGAAUGGGAGAAGAUAUCGAGGAGUGACAUUUGGAAUUUGCCAAAUGAUGAUAUUCUUCCAGUGCUGAGAUUAAGCUAUUAUUGUCUCCCAUCACAUCUGAAAAGAUGUUUUGCUUAUUGUGCUAUAUUUCCCAAGGAUUAUGAAUUUAAAAAGGAGGAGUUAGUUUUUCUAUGGAUGGCAGAAGGUUUCCUAGCAGGGGGUCCAGAGCUGGAAAAUGCAGGCAGUGACUUCUUUUCUGAUCUUGUAUCCAGGUCAUUUUUCCAAAGAUCAAGUGAUGAUCAGUCGCAUUUUGUUAUGCAUGACCUCAAAAAUGACUUAGCUAAAUCUGUGUCUGGAGAAUUUUGUUUCAGGUUAAAUUCUAACAAUUCUAGUAGUAUUACCAGAAGGACUCGCCACUUGUCAUAUGCGAGAACAGAACAUGAUGGCUCUAAGAAAUUUGAGGCUGUUUAUGAAGCUGAAGUUCUGCGCACAUUCUUGCCUAUAGAUUGGUCAAAGUGGUGGUGGCCCAAAUGCAUUGACAACGAGGUAAUGCAUGAUUUACUACCAAAGCUAAAGCGCCUACGUGUGUUAUCUCUGUCUCAAUAUCAUAACAUCAUUGAAUUGCCUGAUUCAUUCGGCAAAAUGAAGCAUUUACGGUACCUGGAUCUCUCUGGAACACCUAUCAAAAGGUUGCCUGAAUCUGUGAAUAGUUGUUAUAGUUUGCAGACUUUAAUCUUGUAUAAGUGCAAAGACUUUGAGGGGUUGCCAACCAACAUGUCAAGGUUGGUCAACUUAUGCCAUCUUGAUAUCAGGAAAACAAAAUUGAAAGAGAUGCCAAAACUCAUGUCUAAGCUAACAAGACUCCAGAAGUUAACAGAUUUUAUUGUGGGAGAACAGAGUGGGUCUAGCAUUAAAGAGUUGGGAGAGCUUCAACAUCUUCGAGGAAAACUCUGUAUUUGGAACUUGCAAAAUGUUGUGGAGGCUGAAGAUGCUUUACAAGCCAAUUUGAAGGAUAAGAAGCAUCUCAAGAAGUUGAAGUUGAGAUGGGCUGGUAACAUGGGCAAUUCUCUUCAUGUACUUGAGCAAUUGAAGCCUCACAAAAAUAUUGAAUGCCUUUCCAUCAUUGGUUAUGAGAGUGCAGGAUUUCCAAGUUGGGUAGGAGAAGCUUUUUUCUCAAAUAUUGUAUCCUUGAGGCUUGAUGGAUGUAUAAACUGCUCCUCCUUACCUCCACUGGGACAGUUAACAUCUUUAAAGGAGCUCGGGAUCAUAGCACUUGACAAAGUUGUGACCGUCAGUGAUGAGUUCUAUGGAAGUUGCACAUCCGUGAAGAAGCCAUUUGGGUGCCUCGAAAUCUUAAGGUUUGAAAGAAUGGAGCAGUGGUGUGAAUGGUUUUCUUACAAAGACGAAGAUGAAGGCAAGGCUUUCCCUCUCCUCCGAGAGCUUUACAUGAGAGAAUGUCCAAAACUAAUGAGGGUAUUGCCCAGUCACCUUCCUUCUUUAACAACACUUGAGAUUGAGGGAUGUCAACAGCUUAUGACUUCGCUUCCAAGGGCUCCAACCGUCGUCAGGAUGGAGUUGAAGGACGAAUCCCAUGAUUUGCUGUUAAAAAAGCUGCCUUCUGGGAUGCACUGUCUUAUAGCUAGCCAUUUCCACUCCCUGGAUUCCCUGCUAAAGAAAGUGGAGCAGAUGGGUUGUUAUUCUACUACUUUAGAGGAAAUUGGAAUAGAAAACUGUGAAUCACUCGAAAGGUUCCCGUUAGAGAUGUUUCCUAAGUUAAAGAGGCUAGAUAUCAGUGGAUGCCCUAAUCUUAAAUAUCUUUUUGCACCCAUUACAGCUUUUGAGGAUUGCAUUUCUGUUCUUGAAGAAAGAAUGCCAGCUUCCUAUUUGACACGGCUUUGCCUAAGAGCAUGCCCCAAUCUAGCAGGGGCCUUGCCCAGUUACUUUCCUUUUUUAACCACACUUGUGAUCAUUGGAUGUCAGCGGCUUAUGGUUUCACUUCCAAAGGCUCCAACCAUCAUCACAAUGGAGUUGAGAGAUGAUUCUCGUGAGGUGGAGUUAGAGGAAUUGCCUUCUGGACUGCACCGCCUCUCAGUUGACAGAUUUGACUAUCCAUAUCCCUUGUUAGAGGGAGUAGAGCAAGCUGAUGGUCUUUCCACUACUUUAGAAGCAAUUGAGAUCAGAAACUAUGAUUCGCUUGAGUGCCUGCCAUUGAACUUCUUUCCCACGUUAAAGAGACUCAACGUCUAUAAAUGUCCAAAUCUUGUAUCCCUUUGUGCAACUGAGGCAAUUUAUGGGCAUUUCACAUUCCUCAGUAGCUUGGAGAUUUGGAAGUGUCCUAAUUUGGUCUCAUUUCCCAAAGGAGGACUGUCCGCCCCUAAUUUGGCAUGGCUUUUGUUGUGGGAUUGUGAAAAUUUAAAGUCACUUCCUGAAUGUAUGCACUCUCUCCUCCCUUCCCUGGUGAAUUUGAAAAUAAGUCACUGUCCAGAGCUUCAGUCGUUUCCAGAUGGGGGUUUGCCCUCCAGACUAGAAUCACUUGAGAUCAUUAGUUGUGACAAACUCAUUGCUGGAUGCUUGGAAUGGAACUUGCAAUUACUCCCCUCUCUUUCUCACUUCUGUAUUGGAGAGUGUAAAGGCCUGAAAUCAUUUCCAAAGGAGCUGCUACUGCCCUCCACUCUUACCUCUCUUAAAAUUGUUGAUCUUCAAAGUCUCGAGUAUCUGGACGAUAAUGGGCUUCAACACCUCUCUUCUCUUAGACAAUUGCAGCUUCGGAACUGUCCUAAUCUACGGGCCAUGCCAAGAGAGGGGCUGCUCUCUUCCCUUGCGUCUCUGUCUAUCUGGAGUUGUCCUUGGCUGGAACUAAGGUGUCAACCGGAGAAAGGGGAAGAUUGGCCAAAGAUUUCUCACAUCCCCAACAUACAGCUUUCAGUCAGUUCAUUCGUUUAUCAUUCAGCAGCUCCUAAGCUUGUUGGGUUAGUUUCCGAUGAUCAACAAUGACAAGAGGAGAUCAGAAAUGCUGGCUCAAGCCUCAAGUAAACUAAAUUGGAAAAGAAAUUCGUGUGAUAUUCACCAAUAUGGGAUGGCAAGCAGUGGGAAAAAGCUUUUUUCUAGUAAGCCGUUCGUAAGUCAUAAAGCUUGUGCAAGGGAAGACUGUGCGUAUCUACUGACCCAGCAUUGUAAGGUAUGUUUUUGUCUUUUCAUUGGUUAAAUAUCUCUAGUAAUAGAAAUGUUCCUAAACAUCAUCCUCAAAUUUCCUAAUGGUUAUGUCUAUUAGUUCAAACGAUUUAUUCAGUUUCCUUUCUCUGAAAUCUCCAGCAUUUUCAAUACCAUUGGUGGAGUGGCAUGUUUCCAUAAAUGCUUAUUGCCAUUUGUUGAAAGAAGGUUCUUUGCAAAUAUACGCAUCUACCACAUUUUUCAUUCCUGUUAUUUGUUCAUGUCAAAUACCUGCUAUCUUUUAUUCCAAGUCUUUGUAGAAUCAGGAUUCUCUAUUCUUUUGAAGGUUUAACAGUUAUCUUGCUGCUCGCGUCGGCAUCUAGCAACAUCACACCACAAUGCCUAUGCGAGCUCUUUGAACAGAAGGUAAACUUAUUCAGGGUGUAGCUGCAGUUCAUUCAGGGGUUGUCACAUGUAAUUUAUUUGUGCAAUGUAAAUCUACUUCAAAAUAUUUCGACUCUUAUCUUUCAGACCUGUGAAAAUGAGGUUCUUCCCUGCACUUUUAUUUCUUGAAUUAUAAUUACUCAUUUUCAGAUUGUGUUUCUUCAA